UACGUAGGGGGCGAGCGUUGUCCGGAUUUAUUGGGCGUAAAGAGCUAGUAGGUGGUUUGGUAAGUCGGAUGUGAAAUCUCCAGGCUCAACCUGGAGGGGUCAUUCGAUACUGCCAUGACUAGAGUUCGGUAGGGGAGUGUGGAAUUCCUGGUGGAGCGGUGAAAUGCGCAGAUAUCAGGAGGAACACCCGUAGCGAAGGCGGCACUCUGGGCCGAUACUGACACUGAGGAGCGAAAGCGUGGGGAGAGAACAGG
rnacentral:rRNA from 1 species